GUUUUUCGCUUGAGGAUGAGCCCAUGUGGGAUUAGCUAGUUGGUGAGGUAAUGGCUCACCAAGGCGACGAUCCCUAACUGGUCUUAGAGGAUGAUCAGUCACACUGGAACUGAGACACGGUCCAGACUCCUACGGGAGGCAGCAGUAGGGAAUAUUGCACAAUGGGGGAAACCCUGAUGCAGCGACGCCGCGUGAGUGAUGAAGGCCUUCGGGUCGUAAAGCUCUGUCGUAUGGGACUAACACAAUG
rnacentral:rRNA from 1 species